rnacentral:rRNA from 1 species
AUUGAACGCUGGCGGCAGGCCUAACACAUGCAAGUCGAGCGGAUGAAGGGAGCUUGCUCCUGGAUUCAGCGGCGGACGGGUGAGUAAUGCCUAGGAAUCUGCCUGGUAGUGGGGGAUAACGUCCGGAAACGGGCGCUAAUACCGCAUACGUCCUGAGGGAGAAAGUGGGGGAUCUUCGGACCUCACGCUAUCAGAUGAGCCUAGGUCGGAUUAGCUAGUUGGUGGGGUAAAGGCCUACCAAGGCGACGAUCGGUAACUGGUCUGAGAGGAUGAUCAGUCACACUGGAACGGGGACACGGUCCAGACUCCUACGGGAGGCAGCAGUGGGGAAUAUUGGACAUAGGGCGAAGGCCUGAUCCAGCCAUGCCGCGUGUGUGAAGAAGGUCUUCGGAUUGUAAAGCCCUUUAAGUUGGGAGGAAGGGCAGUAAGUUAAUACCUUGCUGUUUUGACGUUACCAACAGAAUAAGCACCGGCUAACUUCGUG